rnacentral:rRNA from 1 species
CACGUAGGGACCAAGCGUUGUCCGGAUUCAUUGGGCGUAAAGAGCUCGUAGGCGGUUCGAUAAGUCGGGUGUGAAACCUCCAGGCUCAACCUGGAGACGCCACCCGAUACUGUCGUGACUAGAGUCCAGUAGGGGAGCGUGGAAUUCCUGGUGUAGCGGUGAAAUGCGCAGAUAUCAGGAGGAACACCAGUGGCGAAGGCGGUGCUCUGGGCCGGAACUGACGCUGAGGAGCGAAAGCGUGGGGAGCAAACAGG